ensembl:lncRNA
AGCUGAGACAGCACGUUCUUUUCAAUCUCCAGUAAAGACAAUAACAAUUCUCCGUCUUAAAUUGUAUUGUUUAUUUGCGUAUAAAUUGUACCUAACGUUUGAUUAUAAACGUUGAUUGACUUGUUUGGAUAAGUUUAUUGGUAACGUUUGGAAUUCAUUUUGUGUGCAUUUUGAAGGAGUGGAUUAUUGACUGAAGCGCACCAGCUAAACUGAGUUUUUAUGGAUAUAAAGAAGAAUAUUAUCGAACAAAAGGACCAUUUGUAAUGUAACUGGGACCUUUUGGAGUGCCAACAGAAGGAAAUCUUCAAAGACAUCAUGGCUGGUGAAUCCACACCCUUCCUCCAACCCCCAAAAGCAGCACCCCGAGACAUAGCCAUCACAAUCCUACCAGACAACGUGGUGCAACUGGCAGAUGGUGUUAAACUCCAGGCGAACAUUAUCACUCGACUGAGCAAAGAACCAUCAAAGUGUAACGGGUGUCGUCGUCGGAUGAAGAGGAAUCAGCGGGUGUCUUUUUGAUUAGCUCCGUCUUUGCUGGAGGUUCCUGGUGUGCCAACACGGCAAGAGCCCGAGCAGCUGCCCUGGGUUUGGACCUCCCUAGGACCCAGUUUGUCCCUUACCAUCUUCGACCAACACGCCAUAGAAGUUUUGAUCCCAUAAAAACCCACUAUGAAAAUAAUUAUGGCCCCAAAGAGGUUGAGUUUGAGCCUAUCCUUCCGCACAACGUUGAAAUCCAAGGGGAUGGAUAUCCAAAUGACUGGGCCUAUGGACAAAUCUUCCCCAGAGGCUUUCAACCCAAACCGUCUACACUGAACCAUCACGGUUCUGAUCUCAGUUUGGCUGACUCCUCUGUCUACACUCCCAAGGGACAAUUUGUUAGCAGCCACAAGCCCAACUUUGAGCAGGUCAAGAAUUCUGUGCCUCGACCAAAUGCAAUGGUAGCCCCUAGUCAGUUUGAGUACUCAGAGAAAGUGGACAAUCGAGGCUACUAUAAGUCUGUUGUAGUUCAGCCUGUCGCCAGCAGACGUAGAACAGCCCAGAGUGUGGUUUCACGACACCAGAGCAGAGGUGCUGUACCCUAUGGAAAAAGUAUCCUGUGGUCUUGGCCACAGACUUUUCCUCUAAAUCCGCUCCACCAUCCCAGAGUGGACUCAUCAGCCCCCGAGGUAAGACAAUUCUGAUCCCAGGGCAUGGUGCUGUCCAUUCUGUGAUCAAAGAGCUGAAAUAUGAAGCAGUUUGAUUAAGUGUCAGAAAAAACAGGGAUCCGGUUGGUUAAGAUCCUAACGGACAAACUUUCCUUUGCAAACUACCUUUGUCUGAGGAGCCAACCAUACCAUUGGUGAGCAAAUCGGUGACCUUAUGCACUUUUUAAGGGCAAAACAUGUAAGUUGUGUUUGUAAUCCAGUACAUUUACUUAUCCAUGACAUCACUGUUCUGAAUUACUAUUUGGUUAUGUGUUUAUCCUUCAAAUAAAAUGUCCAU